GCCAACAUGGCAUAGUGGUUUGAGUGUUGGACUACGAUUCGAGACCAGGGUUCGAUUCCCAGCUUGGCC
rnacentral:tRNA from 1 species